rnacentral:rRNA from 1 species
AUUGAACGCUGGCGGCAUGCCUUACACAUGCAAGUCGAACGGUAACGGGUCCUUCGGGAUGCCGACGAGUGGCGAACGGGUGAGUAAUAUAUCGGAACGUGCCCAGUAGUGGGGGAUAACUGCUCGAAAGAGCAGCUAAUACCGCAUACGACCUGAGGGUGAAAGGGGGGAUCGCAAGACCUCUCGCUAUUGGAGCGGCCGAUAUCAGAUUAGCUAGUUGGUGGGAUAAAAGCUUACCAAGCCGACGAUCUGUAGCUGGUCUGAGAGGACGAUCAGCCACACUGGGACUGAGAAACGGCCCAGACUCCGACGGGAGGCAGCAGUGGGGAAUUUUGGACAAUGGGCGCAAGCCUGAUCCAGCAAUGCCGCGUGCAGGAUGAAGGCCUUCGGGUUGUAAACUGCUUUUGUACGGAACGAAAAGCCCCGGGUUAAUACCCUGGGGUCAUGACGGUACCGUAAGAAUAAGCACCGGCUAACUACGUGCCAGCAGCCGCCGUAA